UUCUGCUGGAAAACCUGAAAUGAACAUUUGUUCCACCUGCUGUACUAUUUUUACAUUUUAAUAGACAGAACAAAAAUCUUAUUGAAGCACAACUUAAACCUGCAGUGACUAUUUUAGCACAAUUUUUCAGAGUAAUUAUGUAUAAAUGAACAUGGGAACUGGUGUAAAGUAUCUCAUAUUCCUUGACUCCCUUAUCUUGUCAUAGAUGUCUGUUUCUAAUCUUGAAAGUGGUGGAGAUUCCAUAUUUGGUUUACACUGUAUAUGAAGAAAUACUUGUUUUCUGACCUAAAUGGUUUGGCUAAAUUUUGAGCAUCACGAUCCCUUCUUUAUUUCCUUCUCGAGAAAACAUCUUUCCAUGCAACCACCCUCAUGGAGUUUUAAAUCAUUCUAAACUCUUUCAUUAUCUAAAGAGUCUAAGCCGAAAAGCCUCAUGGCAGUCUGGUAACUUAGCAUAUUUGUAAGCACAAUCAUACAGUGGUUGUUUUAUUUUGCAAUUGGCCUGCAAACAAAUUGCAUCCUCCAGUGAAACUAAUGCAUCUUUAAGGGAUCUAUAAUUAAUUGGUGCAAAUAAGCCGAAAAUACAAUUUGUACUUCUCAGUCACUUAGUCAAGUGAGAAUUAAGCCUCCCAAUAAAGAGGUAUAUUCCGAAGCUAAAUUUACUCCAUAUAUUUGCAAUAUUUCAGUAUCUUAUGUUUACAUAUCGAGGCAGUUGAGACAAUUAUUUGUACAAGUUUACCAUGAAAUUGCAUCCCCUGUUUUCUACCCAUUCUCAUGUAUCCUAGUUGUCAAAUUGUUCCACUUUAUUUUUAAAACUGAUCUUCUGCCACAUAGCAUCUCAUACUCUAUGUAUACCAUCAUUAACUUAAACCAACCCAGUUAGCGCAUGAAAACAUUUGAGCAGUUUUAAGAUCAAUCAGCAAAUGUUGUAGGAGGCAAAAUAGUGAUAUGAUAACAUUUUAUGUGGUAUACUACAGACUAAUGGUGCUGAACUUAAAUCUUAUGGAAACUAUUUUGCCUCGAAGAUUUACGUACUGUGAUGUGAUCCCUUUCCCUCACACCACCCCCCCCUUCAAAAAAAGUGUAGUUAAUGUUUACCUAGGCAAAGAAAACUAGUGCUUAUCUAGCAUAUUUCUGUCACGUUUUUAAAAGAGGGGAUAUCGACGUCAUCAAUUUAAAAAAAAAUAGGGAAGUGGUACACAAUAUUUUGGAAGAUCAUGGCUUAUCUUUAACCUUAGCUUGAUAACUAUAUACUUUCAUUGUCCAAAAACCUCUAGACCGCUACACUGACUCUACUCAGUGACUGAGCCUCCACAGCCCCUUUAUAAUUCUGAAUUUCUUCUCAUGAUAGUCCUGAAUGGUUAACCACUUAUUUUGAUCCUGUGACCACUUGUUCUCGUUGCACGACCCAGGGAAACCACUAUCCCUACAUCUACCCUGUUAAGCCCCAUAAGAAUGUAAUAUUUUAACGAUAUUCCCUUUCACCUUUCUAAACUAAAGGGCAUGGAUCCAGUCACCUUGUCUUUGCUCAAAGUUCCCGUGAAUCAGCCAGGUGGAUCUUUAUUACACUCCCUCUCUAUUCGUCUGUAGGGAGAUCAGAACUGUACAGAUUUGUUCCAGGUGCAAAAAAACGUUCCUGGCAAAUCACAGCACAAUAAAAUUGCCAAUUUUGGAACAGAGCUUCAAAGAUUGUUCUGUGAAGGUUGGGCAUAACACAAACUCGUGUGAUUUAAUGCCGUUCUGGAAGCUCUUUUGUUCAAAUGUGAAUGAGUAUUUUCCAAGGGUUUUUUUGUUUUAAUCCUUGGGCUUUUUUCUGAAUGUGGCUUGAUUGGAAAUCCACAACAACAACUACUGCAGGAAACCCAGAUGCCCAUUGCACCAUGACUGAAUUUACUCUUCCUGAUCUAGUUAAUUGAAGGUGCUUGUAAACUAUCUAUAAAGUAGCCAGCCAAUGCAGCAUUAAAUUUAAAGCUAACUUUUUCAAGAUUAUGCAGUUUUUUUGUUAGCAUUUGCCAGGAAUGGUUAAGGUAAGACCCCUGAGGAGCAAUUCAGAAGUCCCAAGAAACAAUCGAACAGAAAUUAUACUGCUGCAAAGCUUUCACCAUCUCAUUGGUUUGGUACUGUGCAAAAUAGUUGGCUUUUUAUUUUGACAGUAUGAUUUAAAAAAAAAAAAAUUAUUUCAUCUAUUCAGAUACAUGUGGUACAUCUCUACUUUUCCACUUCCUUCCCAUCACUGGAAGCACUUCACCUAGGUUGCCAGAGAUGAUAGCUGGCCAGCCUUGGAUGAAUUUAAUAUUUGCGAGUCUGAACAUUUUCGCUAGCACAUGUGAAAGAGAAAAUUGAAACUAGUUCCAGCAAUGUAGAUUAAUUUUGGUUAAUUUUGAGAGUGUAAGAGUUAAUUCUCGGGCGAGGGGGGAGGAGGGGUGGGGCGAAAAAUUGAAUUAAGCAAUAUUCUAUGGAAAUCAACUCAACAUGCACAAUAUUCCAAUAAUCCUCUUACCUCAGUCCCCAGAGAUGGUAUUUGCAUUCUUCAUCUUAUACCAGAACCAUCCAGACUUGUAUUUCACCUUGGGGCACACUCUAUUCAAUGCCUGUUCAGUUCCCUACAUGAGAACAUUGCAAUUCCUCAGCCACGAGAAUCAUGGGUCAUAAGAAAUGUCAACAGAACAAGAUCGUUACCCAACUUUGAACAGGAAUCAUCAACCACGCCCCACUGAGAAGAUAGACACAAAAAGCUGGAGUAACGAACCAGCAGUUUGGUCUGAUCCACAGCUCUACAAAUGGAACUGAGUCUAUUUUGAAACCAUUUAGCAAUGUGAAAUUGGAGGUAUUUUGUUUUAAAUGUGAUCAAAUCCCAAUGCAAAGAAGUAAAGGAAUAUUACGAUCCCAGGUGAAGUGUAUUAUGCACACUCUGUUCUUGGAUAAAUUUAGGUGAAGUUGCAAUUAAUGCUCAAAAAAGUGUCUGAAAUAUGGCUCCUGCUCCUGGUAAAAUAACAAAAACUGAUGCUGAUACGUUCUGAUAAAACAUUCCAAAGGAAAUAUAGGUUUGUUUCACAAUUAAUGCUGCAAUUCAGUACAACACUUAAAAUGACUUGUAAAAUACUUAAAUACUGUUACACAAUGUAUGUAUUGGCAAUCACAAAAUAAAACUCUUCUACAGAGAUGUUUGGAAAAGCA